UACGGGGGGGGCAAGCGUUGUUCGGAAUUACUGGGCGUAAAGGGCGCGUAGGCGGCCUGCUAAGUCACACGUGAAAUCCCUCGGCUCAACCGGGGAACUGCGUGUGAUACUGGCGGGCUUGAAUUCGGGAGAGGGAUGUGGAAUUCCAGGUGUAGCGGUGAAAUGCGUAGAUAUCUGGAGGAAUACCGGUGGCGAAGGCGGCAUCCUGGACCGACAUUGACGCUGAUGAGCGAAAGCUAGGGGAGCAAACGGG
rnacentral:rRNA from 1 species